GCCGGGAUGGCGGAACUGGUAGACGCGCCAGACUCAAAAUCUGGUUCCCGCAAGGGAGUGCGAGUUCGAUUCUCGCUCCCGGCACCA
rnacentral:tRNA from 1 species